GAGCUAACUCUUAGUAGGGUUCGUAAUGAGUGGUUACGUUACAGGGUUGCGUAUUUUGAACACCUAAUUUACUUAACCUUUUACAAUAUUAAUAUCCAUAUGUCAAUGCUAAGAGAAUCUUGUGUUAGUUUCAUAAUGCAAACAUACUUAAAUUUAAUGUGCUCUAGCAAGAAGUUUCACUGCAAGGUUUGAUAAGAAUAUAAAGGUGAAGCUUCUAUAUAGUCAUGGAAGUAUUAAAGAUGAAGAUUGAACCCUUUUCUGAUGAGGAAAAGGAUGUUUUGUCAAAUAUCAAAUUGAUGAAAAAUGAAGAUGAAACUUUAACGAUAACUAGUACUACAGGAAAAGUUGACUCCUUGGAAAAAAGUUCCAAACAAAUCAUUUUGAAGUUUGGUAUAGCAAAAGAGGAGCAAGAAGAAAAAUGUGAUGGGUCAUCAAUGAAAAAUGAG